UACGGAGGGGGCGAGCGUUGUCCGAAUUUAUUGGGCGUAAAGAGCUCGUAGGCGGCUCAGUAAGUCAGGUGUGAAAACUCCAGGCUCAACCUGGAGACGCCACCUGAUACUGCUGUGGCUAGAGUCCGGUAGGGGAGCAUGGAAUUCCUGGUGUAGCGGUGAAAAUGCGCAGAUAUCAGGAGGGAACACCUGUGGCGAAGGCGGCCGACUGGGCCGACCCUGACGCUGAGGCGCGAAGGCGUGGGAAGCGA
rnacentral:rRNA from 1 species